GACGAACGCUGGCGGCGUGCUUAACACAUGCAAGUCGAACGGAAAGGCCCUGCUUUUGUGGGGUGCUCGAGUGGCGAACGGGUGAGUAACACGUGAGUAACCUGCCCUUGACUUUGGGAUAACUUCAGGAAACUGGGGCUAAUACCGGAUAGGAGCUCCUGCUGCAUGGUGGGGGUUGGAAAGUUUCGGCGGUGUGGGAUGGACUCGCGGCUUAUCAGCUUGUUGGUGGGGUAGUGGCUUACCAAGGCUUUGACGGGUAGCCGGCCUGAGAGGGUGACCGGCCACAUUGGGACUGAGAUACGGACCAGACUGCUACGGGAGGCAGCAGUGGGGAAUAUUGCACAAUGGGCGGAAGCCUGAUGAAGCAACGCCGCGUGCGGAAAGACGGCCUUCGGGUUGUAAACCGCUUUAGCCUGUGACGAAGCGUGAGUGACGGUAAUGGGUAAAGAAGCACCGGCUAACUACGUG
rnacentral:rRNA from 1 species